rnacentral:rRNA from 1 species
UACGGAGGGUGCUAGCGUUGUUCGGAAUCACUGGGCGUAAAGCGCGUGUAGGCGGCCCGCUAAGUCUGAUGUGAAAGCCCGGGGCUCACCCCCGGAAGUGCAUUGGAAACUGGCGGACUCGAGUCCCGGAGAGGAGGGUGGAAUUCCUGGUGUAGCGGUGAAAUGCGUAGAUAUCAGGAGGAACACCGGUGGCGAAGGCGGCCCUCUGGACGGUGACUGACGCUGAGACGCGAAAGCGUGGGGAGCAAACAGG